AAAAUCUAUUUGUCAAUAAUGGUAGGAAGGAAAAAAUUGAAUCAAUAAUGAUAGGAAGUAAAAAAUUAAACUCUAAUUGAAGAAUUUCAAAAUCUAUGUAUAAGUAACGAUAGAAAAAAAAAAUUGAACCAUAAAAAGAAGAAAAUCUACAGGGGAGACCACACUUCCCGAGAUAUUUGCAUGAGUAGAAAAAAUAAUUUGUCAUUUGUAACGUGAUAUUGGAGAAUUAGGAAAAGUGAAAUAUGGACUUUGAAAGAG
rnacentral:lncRNA from 1 species